rnacentral:snoRNA from 1 species
GCUGGCAUGAUGAUGAUGACUUUUUUGCCGUUUACCCAACUGAGGUUUUUUGAUGAGUAACUUUUAUCUGAAGUGCCAGC